UACGUAGGGGGCUAGCGUUGUCCGGAUUUAUUGGGCGUAAAGAGCUCGUAGGUGGUUCGGUUAGUCGGAUGUGAAAUCUCCAGGCUCAACCUGGAGGGGUCAUUCGAUACUGCCGUGACUAGAGUUCGGUAGAGGAGUGUGGAAUUCCUGGUGGAGCGGUGAAAUGCGCAGAGAUCAGGAGGAACACCGGUGGCGAAGGCGGGUCUCUGGGCCGAUACUGACGCUGAGGAGCGAAAGCGUGGGGAGCGAACAGG
rnacentral:rRNA from 1 species